CCUACGGUGGGCAGCAGUGGGGAAUAUUGCACAAUGGGGGAAACCCUGAUGCAGCAACGCCGCGUGCGUGAAGAAGGUUUUCGGAUUGUAAAGCUCUGUUAGCAGGGAAGAGGAAGGACGGUACCUGCAGAGGAAGCCACGGCUAACUACGUGCCAGCAGCCGCGGUAAUACGUAGGUGGCAAGCGUUGUUCGGAAUAACUGGGCGUAAAGGAUGCGUAGGCGGCAGCGCAAGUCUGAAGUGAAAUGCCGGGGCUUAACCCCGGAACUGCUUUGGAAACUGUGCAGCUAGAGUGCAGGAGAGGUAAGUGGAAUUCCUAGUGUAGCGGUGAAAUGCGUAGAUAUUAGGAGGAACACCAGUGGCGAAGGCGGCUUACUGGACUGUAACUGACGUUGAGGCUCGAAAGCGUGGGGAGCAAACAGGAUUAGAUACCCUGGUAGUC
rnacentral:rRNA from 1 species